rnacentral:rRNA from 1 species
UACGUAGGGUGCACGCGUUGUCCGGAAUUAUUGGGCGUAAAGAGCUCGUAGGCGGUUCGUCGCGUCGGCUGUGAAAACCCGGAGCUCAACUCCGGGCCUGCAGUCGAUACGGGCGGACUUGAGUGUUGCAGGGGAGACUGGAAUUCCUGGUGUAGCGGUGAAAUGCGCAGAUACCAGGAGGAACACCGGUGGCGAAGGCGGUUCUCUGGGCAUUACCUGACGCUGAGGAGCGAAAGUGUGGGGAGCGAACAGG